rnacentral:rRNA from 1 species
CUACCGUGCGGUCGAGCGGUAGCACAGAGAGCUUGCUCUCGGGUGACGAGCGGCGGACGGGUGAGUAAUGUCUGGGAAACUGCCUGAUGGAGGGGGAUAACUACUGGAAACGGUAGCUAAUACCGCAUAAUGUCGCAAGACCGAAGUGGGGGACCUUCGGGCCUCAUGCCAUCAGAUGUGCCCAGAUGGGAUUAGCUAGUAGGUGGGGUAACGGCUCACCUAGGCGACGAUCCCUAGCUGGUCUGAGAGGAUGACCAGCCACACUGGAACUGAGACACGGUCCAGACUCCUACGGGAGGCAGCAGUGGGGAAUAUUGCACAAUGGGCGCAAGCCUGAUGCAGCCAUGCCGCGUGUGUGAAGAAGGCCUUCGGGUUGUAAAGCACUUUCAGCGGGGAGGAAGGCGAUAAGGUUAAUAACCUUGUCGAUUGACGUUACCCGCAGAAGAAGCACCGGCUAACUCCGUGCCAGCAGCCGCGGUAAUACGGAGGGUGCAAGCGUUAAUCGGAAUUACUGGGCGUAAAGCGCACGCAGGCGGUCUGUCAAGUCGGAUGUGAAAUCCCCGGGCUCAACCUGGGAACUGCAUUCGAAACUGGCAGGCUAGAGUCUUGUAGAGGGGGGUAGAAUUCCAGGUGUAGCGGUGAAAUGCGUAGAGAUCUGGAGGAAUACUCGGUGGCGAAGGCGGCCCUCUGGACAAAGACUGACGCUCAGGUGCGAAAG